rnacentral:rRNA from 1 species
UACGUAGGGUGCGAGCGUUGUCCGGAAUUAUUGGGCGUAAAGAGCUCGUAGGCGGUCUGUCGCGUCGAUCGUGAAAACUUGGGGCUUAACUCUGAGCUUGCGGUCGAUACGGGCAUGACUGGAGUUCGGCAGGGGAGACUGGAAUUCCUGGUGUAGCAGUGAAAUGCGUAGAUAUCAGGAGGAAUACCGAUGGCGAAGGCAGGUCUCUGGGCUGACACUGACGCUCAUGCACGAAAGCGUGGGGAGCAAACAGG